UGGUGGGUAGUUUGACUGGGGCGGUCUCCUCCCAAAGCGUAACGGAGGAGCACGAAGGUUAGCUAAUCCUGGUCGGACAUCAGGAGGUUAGUGCAAUGGCAUAAGCUAGCUUGACUGCGAGCGUGACGGCGCGAGCAGGUGCGAAAGCAGGUCAUAGUGAUCCGGUGGUUCUGAAUGGAAGGGCCAUCGCUCAACGGAUAAAAGGUACUCCGGGGAUAACAGGCUGAUACCGCCCAAGAGUUCAUAUCGACGGCGGUGUUUGGCACCUCGAUGUCGGCUCAUCACAUCCUGGGGCUGAAGUAGGUCCCAAGGGUAUGGCUGUUCGCCAUUUAAAGUGGUACGCGAGCUGGGUUUAGAACGUCGUGAGACAGUUCGGUCCCUAUCUGCCGUGGGCGCUGGAGAAUUGAGGGGGGCUGCUCCUAGUACGAGAGGACCGGAGUGGACGCAUCACUGGUGUUCGGGUUGUCAUGCCAAUGGCACUGCCCGGUAGCUAAAUGCGGAAGAGAUAAGUGCUG
rnacentral:rRNA from 1 species